CAGUCAUAGGGUAGGAGGUACAGGACAGAACAUUCUACAAACACAGAACAGUCAUAGGGUAGGAGGUACAGGACAGAACAUUCUACAAACACAGAACAGUCAUAGGGUAGGAGGUACAGGACAGAACAUUCUACAAACACAGAACAGUCAUAGGGUAGGAGGUACAGGACAAGAACAUUCUACAAACACAGAACAGUCAUAGGGUAGGAGGUACAGGACAAGAACAUUCUACAAACACAGAACAGUCAUAGGGUAGGAGGUACAGGACAGAACAUUCUACAAACACAGAACAGUCAUAGGGUAGGAGGUACAGGACAGAACAUUCUACAAACACAGAACAGUCAUAGGGUAGGAGGU